rnacentral:rRNA from 1 species
UACGGGGGGAGCAAGCGUUGUUCGGAUUUACUGGGCGUAAAGGGCGCGUAGGCGGUCGUGACAAGUCACUUGUGAAAUCUCGGGGCUUAACUCCGAAACUGCAUUCGAUACUGCCGUGCUUGAGGACUGGAGAGGAGACUGGAAUUUACGGUGUAGCGGUGAAAUGCGUAGAUAUCGUAAGGAAGACCAGUGGCGAAGGCGGGUCUCUGGACAGUUCCUGACGCUGAGGCACGAAGGCCAGGGGAGCAAACGGG